rnacentral:rRNA from 1 species
UACGGGGGGGGGCAAGCGUUGUUCGGAAUACUGGCGUAAAGCGUGCGCAGGCGGUUUUGUAAGCCAGAUGUGAAAUCCCGGGCCUUAACCUGGGAAUGGCAUUUGGGACUGCAAGGCUUGAGUGCGGCAGAGGAGACUGGAAUUCCUGGUGUAGCAGUGAAAUGCGUAGAUAUCAGGAGGAAUACCGAUGGCGAAGGCAGGUCUCUGGGCUGACACUGACGCUCAUGCACGAA